AGAGAGAGAGAGAGAGCGUGAGCAGGGGAGGGGCAGAGAGAGAGGGAGACACAGAAUCUGAAGCGGGCUCCAGGCUCUGAGCUGUCAGCACAGAGCCCGACACGGGGCUCGAACCCACAAUCCGUGAGAUCGUGACCUGAGCCCCGAAUAUGAACUGCUUCUAGAGCGACAUCAUCCUUACAUCCAGCCACACCCCUGCGUCUGGCUCAGGCCCCGGGGGAUUCCCAGAGGAAGGGGGGACAGCAGUGGCUGGUCUUUAGCCUCGGGAGUGCUGUCCAGCCCCGUUCUGCCCCCUCCAGCCCCUCCAGCCCCGUCCAACCCCGUCCAGCCCCCUCCAGCCCCGUUCUGCCCCCUCCAGCCCCGUCCAACCCCCUCUAGUCCCAUUCUGCCCCCUCCAGCCCCCUCCAGCCCCAUCCUGCCCCUUCCUGCUCUGCCUCAUCCUGCCAUGUCCACUGACAGACAUCAUGCGUUAGGUUCAGGCUGCUCUUCUGAUUUAUUGGACGCCGCCUUUCAAGUGACAUUAAAAACCACCCCUGAAGUUCCUGAAUCCCGUCCACUGGUCCCUACCUGGAACUGCCGGGGACCGUCAGGACGGGGUGCCCAGCCCCGGCGGCCUGAGCGUGGACAGGGACUCAGGGCAGCCCAGCAGGACGGGAGACAAGGGGCACUUUCGGCAUCCACCUCACUUUCCGUGUCAUUGCCCUUGCGCGAGAUGGCGGGUCUCCAGUGACAGUGUCCCCAUCCCGGAAGUUCCGUGCUGGCCGCAGGUUAGCUCUGGGGCCCGGGCUCUUCCCUGGGCUCCGGUGAGGGCCACCGAGUCGCCGCCCGGACGUGCAGGCGCUGGACGCAGCACACACGUGCUCCUCUGAAAUUCCAAAUUGCGGAAACUUCGUCUCAAUCAGCGUAGCAGAGAGUUUGGAGAGGGGGCGGUAGGCUCUGGAAAUUAAACGGCACCUUUUGGCAUCUCACGUCGGUGAGGCGGCCAACUGAUUAUUUUUAUAUUACAAUCCCCAGGCGUUGUCAAAUUGAUUAAUAAAUUCGCUGAAAACCCA